rnacentral:tRNA from 1 species
GAGCCAGUGGUCUAGUGGCUAUGACCCCGCCCUUACAAGGCGGUGAUCGAAGGUUCGAAUCCUUCCUGGCUCA